rnacentral:tRNA from 1 species
GGAAGGGUGCUCGAGUGGUUGAAGAGGAUAGUCUUGAAAACUAUUGUGCCGCAAGGUACCGUGGGUUCGAAUCCCACCCCUUCCG